rnacentral:lncRNA from 1 species
UUCAAAGGUGAAAAGGAGCCCAAAUUUCGCAGAAUGAUCUCCCGCUUCAGAAAGGGAAACCCUCUAAGUACACUGUACACUUCCCUGCCUGUUUUCUGGAGAGUGAUACUGAGUGUUGGCACUGUCUGCAAGGAAGGAAGCAGGACUUUGACUAAUUGCACAAACAGCAAUUUUGUGUUUUUGAAGUGCAAGGACUCAGUCCUAUGUCCACGAAGCCUCCUUCAGGAGGUUACUUCUUGACAUAGCCCAUCAACCGGACCUCCUGUUGCUAGGUUCUGAGCCUUAGGGUGCUUUCUGAUAUCAGUAGUCAGGUUGUCUGUUUUGUUUUCCAUGCAAAGCAAA